AUGGCCGGCACCGUGCCCAAGCUCGCCGCCCCGAGGCCGGCGGCCGCGGGGCCGCUCCCCUCGCAGUCCCUCCGCUCCGCCGCGCUCGCCUUCGCCCCCUCCGCCCGCCGCUUCCGCGUCUCCCUCGCCGCCCGCGCCAGGAGCCCCUUCAUUGCGAUGGCUUCCGCCAAGGAAGGGAACGGCGCCGUGACGAAGAGGACCACGCUCCAUGACCUCUACGAGCAACAGGGUCAGUCCCCGUGGUACGACAACCUCUGCCGGCCUGUCACCGAUUUGCUGCCCUACAUCGCCAACGGUGUCCGUGGAGUCACCAGCAACCCAACGAAAGCCAUCUCUUCAUCAAACGCGUAUGACGGUCAGUUCAAGGAGCUUAUAUCAGCUGGGAAGGAUGCGGAGAGCGCUUACUGGGAACUCGUCAUAAAGGAUAUCCAAGACGCGUGCAAACUGUUUGAGCCCAUCUAUGACGAGACCGAUGGAGCUGAUGGUUACGUUUCAGUGGAGGUGUCUCCUAGGUUGGCAAAUGACACCCAAGGAACCGUUGAAGCUGCGAAGUGGUUACACAAAGUGGUCAACCGCCCCAAUGUGUAUAUCAAGAUCCCAGCUACUGCAGAAUGCGUUCCUUCUAUCAAGGAAGUCAUUGCUAAUGGCAUCAGCGUCAAUGUUACUCUUAUCUUCUCCGUUGCAAGAUACGAGGCUGUGAUUGAUGCUUACCUCGACGGGCUUGAGGCUUCUGGUUUGAGCGACUUGUCCCGAGUGACCAGCGUGGCAUCCUUCUUUGUCAGCCGAGUUGACAGUCUGAUCGACAAAAUGCUUGAGAAGAUUGGAACACCGGAGGCUCUUGCCCUGAGGGGAAAGGCUGCCGUAGCACAAGCAAAGAUAGCAAACCAGCUUUACCUGAAGAAAUUCUCUGGCCCGAGGUGGGAGGCUUUGGUGAAGAAGGGAGCCAAGAAGCAGAGGUUGUUGUGGGCAUCCACCAGCGUGAAGAACCCGGCUUACUUGGACACUCUUUACGUCGAUCCUCUCAUCGGACCUGACACCGUCUCUACGAUGCCCGACCAAGCUCUGGACGCGUUCAUCGACCACGGCACAGUUGCUAGGACAAUCGACGCUAACGUGUCAGAAGCUGAGGGCAUAUACAGUGCCCUGGAGAAGCUGGGCAUCGACUGGGAAGAGGUUGGCAAGCAGCUGGAGCACGAGGGGGUGAGCUCCUUCAAGGGGAGCUUCGACAGCCUGCUCACGAGCUUGGAGGAGAAGGGCAACGCCCUCAAGACUGCCGCCAACCUGUAG
rnacentral:rRNA from 1 species